GAUGAACGCUGGCGGCGUGCCUAACACAUGCAAGUCGAGCGGACGGACGAGAAGCUUGCUUCGCUGAUGUUAGCGGCGGACAGGUGAGUAACACGUGGCUCCCCUACCUAUAAGACUGGGAUAACUUCGGGAAACCGGAGCUAAUCCCGGCUAAUAUUUUGAACCGCAUGGUUCAAAAGUUAAAGGCGGUCUUGCUGUCACCUAUCGAUGGAUCCGCGCUGCAUUAGCUAGUUGGUAAGGUAACGGCUUACCAAGGCAACGAUGCAUAGCCGACCUGAGAGGGUGAUCGGCCACACUGGAACUGAGACACGGUCCAGACUCCUACGGGAGGCAGCAGUAGGGAAUCUUCCGCAGUGGGCGAAAGCCUGACGGAGCAACGCCGCGUGAGUGAUGAAGGUCUUCGGAUCGUAAAACUCUGUUAUUAGGGAAGAACAUAUGUGUAAGUAACUGUGCACAUCUUGACGGUACCUAAUCAGAAAGCCACGGCUAACUACGUG
rnacentral:rRNA from 1 species